rnacentral:rRNA from 1 species
GAUGAACGCUGGCGGCGUGCCUAAUACAUGCAAGUCGAACGAAACUUCUUUAUCACCGAGUGCUUGCACUCACCGAUAAAGAGUUGAGUGGCGAACGGGUGAGUAACACGUGGGCAGCCUGCCCAAAAGAGGGGGAUAACACUUGGAAACAGGUGCUAAUACCGCAUAACCAUAGUUACCGCAUGGUAACUAUGUACAAGGUGGCUAUACUACCGCUUUUGGAUGGGCCCGCGGCGCAUUAACUAGUUGGUAGGGUAAAGGCUUACCAAGGCAAUGAUGCGUAGCCGAAUUGAGAGGUUGAUCGGCCACAUUGGGACUGAGACACGGCCCAAACUCCUACGGGAGGCAGCAGUAGGGAAUCUUCCACAAUGGGCGAAAGCCUGAUGGAGCAACGCCGCGUGGGUGAAGAAGGUCUUCGGAUCGUAAAACCCUGUUGUUAGAGAAGAAAGUGCGUGAGAGUAACUGUUCACGUUUCGACGGUAUCUAACCAGAAAGCCACGGCUAACUACGUG